GCCCCCCUCUCCUCCCUCUCUACCGUAGAUUUCUUUUGGUCUGGUUCGGGGUUGGCGUCGGGCCCUGGGAUCACACGAAUGGCGCUCGGGCCGUGAUCCGGCUGCUGGGUGGAGAUGGUGGAUGCCGCGUGCCUAGUGCCUAGUGACACGACCUGGUUCGUCUCUGUUUUUUUUCUGGGAGAAUGGGUUGUGAUCCGCUUGUUCGUCGACAGGCCCCGGUCGCCGGGAUGCCGCUUUUUGUUAGUAUUUCUUGCUGGGGCUGCAGCCGAGGGAGAUGCAUAGUGGAUGGCGGCAGAGCGGGUCGGCAGAAGCAUGGUCGGAGGCGGGGUGGUGGUGUGAUGGCUGGGCGGCGCGUGCAUGUGUUGCCGUGUUGGGGCUGUGGUGGCUUGUGUGUGGUCUCUGCUAGGCAAUGAGAGAUUUAAAGUGAGAUGAUUAAGAGGUCCGGCGCCUUGAGCUCGCACCCGGCCGUCCCGCGCCGCUAGAUCCCUCCGGGUAGCGGCUUCCAGUUGCCUGGCACCGCCCGCUCCUUGACCUCGCGCCCGUUCAGGGGCGCCUCGUGUCAUCAGGUGUUGAGAGCUGCAAGUACCUUAAAUUUGUCACCACAACCCUUCUCUGUUUCAUCCUCAUACUACAUCGUCAUACGCCGCCGUUGACUUCCUGCGGAACCCCCAGUUGGCAGGAAAUGACUGAACUCGUGAUGCUCUUUCUUCCAGCGAUUUCGUUUGCUGGUCUGCUCUUCGCUCUUACUAUUUCCAGUAUUUUUUUGUAUAGCAGUUAGAUAUUGGAGGUAGCUGUGUGCUAUCUAUGGACCAUAUGGUACUGCUCGGAACAACCUGAUUGCGUUGCUCCAAGUGCAAUUGAAAUUCGAACACACCACAUUGCUCGGCUGCAUUUUAUAAGAAAGAAGUUAGGAGAACCAUUGACUGAUUUCAUUGGAGGAAUGAGGUACAGUGGUUAUAUGCAUGGUGAUUAAAUCAAGUUUUUUUUACCUAUGCUUCCAACCUGUAGGUGAAUUUGUGUUUAUGCUCUGUGGCGUUGAUCUGUAAAUCUUCCGAUGCUAUUUUGUGCCAUAUGGGCAAACACUAAGUUCUGAGGAAGAGAUGUCAUAUGUGUACCAUAUGGACAAACACUCUACAUUCUAAAGGACGGGCAGAACGUGCAUCCCCUGGUGAGGAGCUUGAUAGGAAGAGAUCUCAAGCGCGAUCUCAAGCGCACGCACUAUACGAGGCUUCAGGAGGAAGAAUUCUAUGCUGUUCUAUUAUCUCCCCUUCUAGAACAGUUUUAACACGGUCCCUCUGUAGUUCUUUCUGUAUAUGUACCUUGCAUAGGGUAUAGUUCAUGGUGAUAAUUCCAUUAUAUUUUUAUCAAUACACCACAUCAAUCUUAUAACUAGCUAGAAGAAACGGCAUACCUCAUGCUCCCAUUUGAGUCUUGUGUGCAAGCUCAUAUUAUGAAAUGAUAUAAGCAUGCUUGAUUCAAGGAAGUUGCUGGUCUGAUGUCACGUUAUACAACUUGUCCUGCUACAUUCCUGAAGUACUAAAAAAAUGGAAAAUAAUGCAUUUCCUUCUAAUUCAUAUUUUUAUUUUUGAUUGUACUACGAAUGUAUAUGAGAUUAUCAUAUAUUUCGUAGAACGAUCGCCCUGGUCGCUGUUUUAUUCCUCUGUUAAUCUAUUUCAAAUAUCUUUAAUCAGAGUCAAAGCAUGACAUAAUAGUUGGGUCUUUACCUGUGUUUUUUCUGCAUCUCCAUCCAGAUUUGUGUCCCAGAUCAUGGAGGAAUUACCCUCUCUGCUGGUGCGUUUACAGUGCAUUAUUUGUAGUUCUAUUGGGAAGACAGUUAGAGACCCCGAGAGGCUGCUGCGAGCUGCUAUUCCCCUCCUCGAGCUGGCGGACUGAUGAUGGAGGACCCGCCCUCUUUGCUGCAUCAGCGCCGCCGCUGCCACUUCUGCUUCUGUUGCCCGUUGGCCCAGGGCGGCGCAUGUCCUCUGCUUCUAAGGCUUCUUCUGCUGAUGGUCUUCAAGGUGCUGCUGCUGCUCCCAAGCUGUGGCUGGCUUCGCUGCUGCAGCACCAUGCCGUCUUCAACGACUCACCAACGACGGCAGCUCCUCCGCUUCAGGGCUACUGCGGCAUGCGUGUCUCCCUCCUCCAGGGAGGUUGUGCGGCACCGAGCGGGUGUACGGCGAGGUCUUCGUAAUGGCAUCAAGUCACCCUUGCCAUAUGGAUCAUAUAUUUGCUUCAAAUCACGGAAGCUUGGGUUGAUGGAGUGCUUGUCUUUAGUUUUUGUUUUGAGUUUGUGAAACUUGCUACCUAUGAUGAAACUGUGCAAUAUUGAUGAAACUAUGUAUAUGUAUGGAUGAAACUUGCUACUAUUGGUAACAUGUGUUGGAUAU